rnacentral:rRNA from 1 species
UAGCGAAAGCGAGUCUGAAUAGGGCGCUUUAGUCAGUAGUGUUAGACGCGAAACCGUGUGAUCUACCCAUGGGCAGGAUGAAGCUGUGGUAACACACAGUGGAGGUCCGAACCGGUUGACGUUGAAAAGUCUUCGGAUGACCUGUGGGUAGGGGUGAAAGGCCAAUCAAACUCGGAAAUAGCUCGUACUCCCCGAAAUGCAUUUAGGUGCAGCGUUAGUUAUAAAGUUAUAUAGAGGUAGAGCUACUGAUUGGAUGCGGGGGCUUCACCGCCUACCAAUUCCUGACAAACUCCGAAUGCUAUAUAAUGUUCACUAACAGUGAGGGCUUGGGUGCUAAGGUCCAAGUCCGAGAGGGAAAGAACCCAGACCAUCAGCUAAGGUCCCCAAAUAUACACUAAGUUGAAAGAACGAGGUUUGUCUGCCCAGACAGCUAGGAUGUUGGCUUGGAAGCAGCCAUUCAUUUAAAGAGUGCGUAACAGCUCACUAGUCGAGCGGACGAGCAUGGAUAAUAAUCGGGCAUAAGUGUAUUACCGAAGCUAUGGAUUUACAAGUAAUUGUAAGUGGUAGGGGAGCAUUCUAACAGGGUUGAAGGUGUAUCGUCAGGUAUGCUGGACUGGUUAGAAAAGAAAAUGUAGGCAUAAGUAACGAUAAUGCGGGCGAGAAACCCGCACACCGAAAAACUAAGGUUUCCACAGCUAUGCUAAUCAGCUGUGGGUUAGUCUGGUCCUAAGGCGAACCCGAAAGGGACAGUCGAUGGCUAACGGGUUAAUAUUCCCGUACUACUAAUUACUGUGAUGGGGUGACGGAGUGAUGAAAGCGCCGCGAACUGACGGAAUAGUUCGUUGAAGUACCUACCUAUAGGAUCUGCAGGCAAAUCCACAGAUCUUGGGGAAAUACGAUAGUACUCGGAGUCUUCGGACAAAGAGAUAGUGCGCCUAAGGGCUUCCAAGAAAAACCUCUAAACUUCAGGUAAUUAGUACCAGUACCGUAAACCGACACAGGUAGUUGAGGAGAGAAUCCUAAGGUGCUCGAGAGAUUCAUGGCUAAGGAAUUAGGCAAAAUAGACCUGUAACUUCGGGAGAAAGGUCGCCAGCGCAAGCUGGCCGCAGUGAAGAGGUCCAGGCGACUGUUUAUCAAAAACACAGGGCUCUGCAAAAUCGUAAGAUGAAGUAUAGGGCCUGACACCUGCCCGGUGCUGGAAGGUUAAGAGGAGAUGUUAUCUUCGGAGAAGCAUUGAAUUGAAGCCCCAGUAAACGGCGGCCGUAACAAUAACGGUCCUAAGGUAGCGAAAUUCCUUGUCGGGUAAGUUCCGACCUGCACGAAUGGUGUAACGAUCUGGACACUGUCUCAGCCAUGAGCUCGGUGAAAUUGUAGUAACGGUGAAGAUGCCGUUUACCCGCAGUGGGACGAAAAGACCCUGUGCACCUUUACUAUAGCUUAGUAUUGACCUUGGAUAAAUGAUGUU